rnacentral:rRNA from 1 species
UCCUGGCUCAGAUUGAACGCUGGCGGCAUGCCUUACACAUGCAAGUCGAACGGCAGCACGGGUGCUUGCACCUGGUGGCGAGUGGCGAACGGGUGAGUAAUACAUCGGAACAUGUCCUGUAGUGGGGGAUAGCCCGGCGAAAGCCGGAUUAAUACCGCAUACGAUCCACGGAUGAAAGCGGGGGACCUUCGGGCCUCGCGCUAUAGGGUUGGCCGAUGGCUGAUUAGCUAGUUGGUGGGGUAAAGGCCUACCAAGGCGACGAUCAGUAGCUGGUCUGAGAGGACGACCAGCCACACUGGGACUGAGACACGGCCCAGACUCCUACGGGAGGCAGCAGUGGGGAAUUUUGGACAAUGGGCGAAAGCCUGAUCCAGCAAUGCCGCGUGUGUGAAGAAGGCCUUCGGGUUGUAAAGCACUUUUGUCCGGAAAGAAAUCCCUGGCUCUAAUACAGUCGGGGGAUGACGGUACCG